rnacentral:rRNA from 1 species
GGGUCUAGGUAGCAAUACCUAGAUUAGUGGCGCACGGGUGCGUAACGCGUAUGCAACCUACCUUCUAUUGGGGGAUAGCCUUCCGAAAGGAAGAUUAAUACCGCAUAAUAUCAUUUGAGGGCAUCUGAAGAUGAUUAAAGCUACGGCGAUAGAAGAUGGGCAUGCGUGACAUUAGCUAGUUGGUUGAGGUAACGGCUCACCAAGGCUACGAUGUCUAGGGGUUCUGAGAGGAUGAUCCCCCACACUGGUACUGAGAUACGGACCAGACUCCUACGGGAGGCAGCAGUAGGGAAUAUUGGGCAAUGGACGCAAGUCUGACCCAGCCAUGCCGCGUGAAGGAUGAAGGCCUUCUGGGUUGUAAACUUCUUUUAUCUAGGAAGAAAAUACUCUUGCGAGAGGAACUGACGGUACUAGAUGAAUAAGCACCGGCUAACUCCGUGCCAGCAGCCGCGGUAAUACGGAGGGUGCAAGCGUUGUCCGGAUUUAUUGGGUUUAAAGGGUGCGUAGGCGGCCCUGUAAGUCAGUGGUGAAAGCCCAUAGCUCAACUAUGGAACUGCCAUUGAUACUGCAGGGCUUGAGUACAGACGAGGUAGGCGGAAUUGAUAGUGUAGCGGUGAAAUGCAUAGAUACUAUCAAGAACACCGAUUGCGUAGGCAGCUUACUAGGCUGUAACUGACGCUGAGGCACGAAAGCGUGGGGAGCGAACAGGAUUAGAUACCCUGGUAGUCCACGCUGU